CGGCGGACGGGUGAGUAACGCGUGGGUAACCUGCCUCAUACAGGGGGAUAACAGUUGGAAACGGCUGCUAAUACCGCAUAAGCGCACAGUACCGCAUGGUACGGUGUGAAAAACUCCGGUGGUAUGAGAGGGACCCGCGUCUGAUUAGCUAGUUGGUGGGGUAACGGCCUACCAAGGCGACGAUCAGUAGCCGGCCUGAGAGGGUGAACGGCCACAUUGGGACUGAGACACGGCCCAA
rnacentral:rRNA from 1 species